GUGAGACAUGUUUGUGUAGCAAGAGGAGUCAGAGCAAGGUACUGAGGUGCCUUUGCUGUGACUGCAUGAGAAAGGGGGAACCCAGAGGAUCCUGACAGUCACAGGCACUCAGCAAGUACCAAGGAAAACACCGAGCAUGCUCAGUUUCCUGCUUCCAGAAGAAACUGCCAACGCUGAGGACUUAGGAAAGGACUGGGGGGACGGGGUGAAAAUUGGUUAUUUCCCAUGCUUAAUAAAGGCAUCCAUUAAGCA
rnacentral:lncRNA from 1 species